UUGGAUAAUGUCAGGUUCAAGAUAUACGAGGUACACUAAUACAAAUUAACUUUAUAAAGUUAUCAAUUAUUUUUAUUUACAUUUUUUGAGAGUACAGCUAACAAUCUUCUGACGAAAGAAGAUAUAAUUUUAGAUUGCACUUAAAUAUGUAUUUACUAUCGCUAUUUUUAAUGUAUUCUGGCAACAUAUUCCACAUACUGUGCAUCUGUUUUUUGUGCCGGAAUACAGUCCAUAGUUUGUUUUAUUGUAGUGUUUGUGUAAUUUCAUAGAGCCUCUGGUAUUAUGGCAAUGAAUAACACUGUUUUUUUUAUACAAAGUGAAUCAAAUUGAGGUGAUAGUGUAUUUUUUACUGUGUCGAAUGUGAACAAACCAACUUGAAAAGCAUUUAUCUUAGUAAU
rnacentral:lncRNA from 1 species